rnacentral:rRNA from 1 species
UACAGAGGCCCCAAGCGUUAGGCGGAAUCACUGGGCUUAAAGCGUGUGUAGGCGGACUUCUAAGUACCUUGUGAAAUCCCUCGGCUUAACCGGGGAACUGCGUCUGAUACUGGAUGGCUAGAGGUUGGGAGAGGGAUGCGGAAUUCCAGGUGUAGCGGUGAAAUACGUAGAUAUCUGGAGGAACACCGGUGGCGAAGGCGGCAUCCUGGACCAAUUCUGACGCUGAUGAGCGAAAGCCAGGGGAGCAAACGGG